ACUCGCGCAGUCGCCCGAACACCUCGGAGAGGCUGGCCCCGGCGUUGUGAUCGCGUGCGAGAAAAAAAAAAGGGAAAAGAGAGAAACGGGGGCGCGCACGGAGACAGAGGCGAGGGAAAAGGCUUCGAGGUGUCUGACGCCUUUUAAGCAGAGCGCGAGUCGCGAUGUCCGGGCCUGCGUAUCCUCCGGAGGAUGACGCCGUUAUCCGUGACGUCGCGUAGGCGCUGCGGCCGCGGAAUCCGCGUUCGCUGGCCCUAUUAUUGACUCGGGGGGGUUGGUCCGGCGGCCAUGACAAGGGGUUGGAUUUGCCGCGAGAUCGUCAGAUGGCGCGGCGUGUGCGGUCCACCCUCCCUGGAAUGCUUUCGGCGAGGAUCCUGCCGACGCUAUCCUGCCCCACGGGUCCAUCCACGACGCUGAGGGCGACCGACGACGGACAGGUGGAACGCGCUCGACGCUGAGCGUCGCCGUGGAAGUGCAACCGCGCGCUUGCCAAGCGCGCGCGCGCGUCCGAGUGGGAUCGCGCGGGGCGGAAGCGGUGCGGAAAGUCCAUUUCGAAAGGCUGUACAUCGUCUAGGGUGGACCGAGGAUCUCCCUACGGAGGUCUCCCUACGCGACGCGGUGCGGUAUCUUACGGGAAAACUCGUGCGGGUCGACGAGAAAGAUCGCCGGAAGUCUGACGUUCGCCGAACGGGAUCAAACGGCGCCGAAUCAGGCGGAGUGAGACGUCAAUCUGCUCUCGGGAGUGCCGUCCACCAUUUUGGCUCUGCGCGGAGGUUAUUCUCUCGCGGAAGCGUCGAGACGUCCGCGCGACUCGUCGGAGACGACGUCCGACUUUCGGAGUAAUCUCUCUUCCUUCUCUUUUUCUCUCUCUUUCUCUAUCUAUCUCUCUCUUCCUUCCCCUUCCUCUCCAUUACGCUAUUGCAACGGUGAGCUUUCCGGUGAUCAAGUAGAGCGAGUGAUUUCCGGAGAAGAAUCUGUGUCGCUUGUUUAGGAAUCAGCUGAAGCAGGCAACGUUUCGGCGCUUCGUCGGGAAAAACCCUGGGACGUUCUAGGACGUCGCGACAUCCCCGACGCUUUGGGACUGGAGCCAUUUUUAUGCGCUGCAUGCCGGGAGGAGCGGCUCUCCCGCUGGAAACUGGGUUACCGCGUCUCUUCCGCUCGAAUUCCUCCUCUGCUUGUCGCCCGGAGGCCCUUAGAUUCGUGUGACGGGGCUGAAAAAGCGUGCUCUGUCUUUGGCGAGAAAAGCUUUUGUACGUGAUAUGGCUAUUUAGUGAAGGAACUUUGUGCAGACACACAGGAAAGACGUGGAUUUGGAUCUCGAGAGAGAGAGAGAGAAAGAGAAAGAGAAGAAAAGUUGUGUGCCGAGUGAUUAAUAUUUGACAAGAAGAAUCGCGUAGAGUGGAGAGGCGUGGAUUUAAUCCGUCGAGAUAGAAGAGAUUGUGUGCUCGGAUGGAUUUGUCGCGGAAUUCUGUGCGGUGAGAGAAGCGGCGUGGAUCUGUAUUAUUGAGGGAGGUGAAAUGUGUCCAGGUUCUAGGCAGUAAAGCAGUAAAGCAGUGCGUGGAUUAAUACGGGUGGAUCGGUGUAGUUUUUGAGGGAUAUCACAUCAUGCGGGAAGAGGAAAUGCGCGGAUCCAUUAGUUGAUGAAGAGUAAAUUGUGCUUCGGCGGUACUUAUCGGGGAGGAUGUCAUGCGGGCAGAGAGGCAGAUCUCUACGUUAAUAGCGGAGAAAUGUUACAUAGACAUUUAAGACUGAGUACGUCGAGGGUUGAUGGACAAUAAUUGAUCUCGGUUCAUUUGUGGUGAAUCGUUAAAUGGAAUCGUUGAAGAAUAGGAAAGGCUAGAUUUGUACAUCGAAGGAGAAGAGAAACGUUGGGAAAUAAAAAUAGAAAAGCGUUGAUUUCAUUGAGGGUGGUGCGGCAUGGAUGCUUAGAUGGAGCGGGGAAAUAAGUGAUACUUGAAGAAAUAUUUUGCGAUUGUUUUUUAUUAAGGAGGAUUUCGUACAGAAGUAACGUUUUACAUCUGAUAUUGAAUGAUCAAUUACCGAAAGUAAAAUGACGGUUCGCAUGUUAAGAAAAACUGCAGGAGUCUUCGGGAAAGAAGAAUCGUGCGCUGUUAUUGAUGAAAAUAUUCUGCAAAAAAGCAAGAUGUAGAUCUGUGUUCUCCGUUUGUUGAAAAGCAUGACGAGCCAAUAUCUUCGACGAAGGCGUCAGAAUUAGUUUCGCUGGGAAAAAUCGCGGCUCUUCCACCAAAGAUGAGAGAUUUAUUUUUGACAAAAUAGCACUCGCUCGAGAAUCGCUUUGGAAAACUCCAUUUUGCGUAGCCUAGAAAAUUCAGCAUCGCGAGAAAUUCUUAUCUCCUCAAGGAAAAGACAACCUGGUAUUAAAAAAAAAAAAAUUGAGUUUUUUUGUGCCGCCGAAAAUGUUUCCCUUUGCUUGAAAACUGUCCUCUGCUCGCCGCAGAGAACCGCUGAUUCUUGUUCCUCACGAAGACUCGUUUAUCUAUCGAGAAACAUCACAUAUUAUCCUUGCUUAAGAAAUAUCCUCUCUGUCGAGAAGAAUUGCGGUGCGUGAAUUCGUGAUGACGAAAAUUGUAGAUCCUUCUCCACGAUUCUAGAUGUGAAAGAGGAAUACUGUCUAUUUUCGAGAAGAGGAAUCUCACGAGAAUUAAAGGAUUCGUGGAGCGGGAUGAUCGCUGAAGGAUCUAUGGGAUUCACGGAGCGGCAAGCGAUGGUGGUUCUUCAUGGAAGGUGGAUGAAUCCGACGAGUAGCGCCCGAGAAAGUCGCCAAAUGUAACGUUUUUUCAAGGACAUGGCCGAGAAUUAGACUGAAUAGGCGUCGGGUACGCCAGGAACGAUGGAGAUCGAGUGAUUUCGGCAAUGGACCGAUAAGUAGUUUUAGAUGUUUCGUACGAGUUUGUGUGAGAUCAAUUGCUAGUGCUACGGAAAGUGUUUUGCCGAUUUUCCUCACUUCGAAGGAUUACGCGUUGAAAGGCCAGGUCUCUCCGUUUAGCGAGACAAUCUCUGGCAUGCGUAGUACGGGCGAGUCGGGCAUAGGGCUCGUUCCGGGACUAGCGAAGGGAUCAAAGGAGGAUCGGCUAGCCGCUCUCGAGCGGUUCGAGGACCGGUGAGCACGACCCGAGGGCGAGCAACCCCCUUGUCGAAGACCAGCAACCCUCCCGUCCGUCACUGUCGACGAACAACAGAACAGAUGUCCUGACAGUGGGCCACGGGCCACCAGGAUGCCGACAGACGACGACUAUGGCCGAAGAGAUCGUCUCCUGUUGCACCAGCACCCUAUCGCUCAGUACGGAUCCUCGUCAUCCCCGCUUCCCGGAUCGAGCGCGCCGAAUUCCGGCAGCGUGGGGACCCAGAUUGGUUCCAAUAAUCCCAGCGACUGUUUCAAGCAACAAGCGGAGCAGCAGCAAUUGUCCGAUUUGCGUCCGGUCACGAGUACCGCGAACCAGUCGGGCCAAGAGCGUUACCAGUCGGAUCAACAGACUCAAAGCAACGAGCAUGUCGGGACCCGAAUGGUCGAUCGGCACGAGAAAUCCGCGGAGAAGUCUACGAUCGACUUCUCCAAGUGCGGAGAGGGUCGUUCGUCGGGUUGCGAGCGCUUUGGGCAUUAUCAGGCUCAGAGCGGUGAGCAUGUGGGGAGUCGAAUCGGGGGUGAGCGGCACGAGAAGGCCGUGGACAAGUCUUGUAUCGAUUAUUCCAAGUGUGGAGAAGGUGGUCGUCCGUCGAGUUGCGAGCGUUUCGGACAUUAUCAGGUCCAAAGCGAUCAGGCUCACGUCGGCGUGCGAAUGGCCGAGCGGCACGAGAAGUCAUCCGACAAGCAGUCGGUCGAUUUCACCAAGUGCACCGUCGACGGUCGACAGUCGAGUUGCGAGCGUUUCGGGCAUUACCAAACUUCGACGUUCGGUCAGUCCUCCAGUUUGCACUACAGUGCGCACGGCAGCGCCGAUCGUUUCGCGCGAUUCAACGAUCUCAGCACGCUGCACGGCGAGCAACGGGUUUCGAGUAACGAUCGUUACUCGAUCUGCAAUCCGGAGCUGCACUUCGACACAGCGGGCUCGAGCGGACCGGGUGAAUACGCGAACGCGAACGCGCUCGUCGGGCCCUUCGCCACGGAGACGUUCCCGUCGCCGCCGUCGCCGGCACCGGCCAACGACCGCUUCGUCCCACCACCGCCAUUGUCGCCCAGUCCGAGCGAGAAGUACGCCUCGAGCCAGAGCCUGGCUGGUUAUCCUGCUGCUGAUCGCAUUUUGCCCCCCAAUUCUCCGGGGCCCAAGUAUGGCGCCGACAGCGCCACUUCAGCAUCGCCGAUGCCCGCCAAGGAGCGCUUCGCCUCCACCGAGCGGCUGUUGGCCACUCAGCAAUCAACUCCCGGUGACGCCAAGGAUCAACAACGCUACGCUGGACCGUCUGAUCAUCGUCUGCUCUCGGGGUCUUCCCCGGUCUUGGAAGGACUUCAGACGGGACUCCAGGGCGGCGGCGUCUACGCCAAGGACUCUCGUUACGCCGCCAUUUCAGCGGACAGGAUACUAUCCUCUUCGCCAAUACACGCUCCGGUACCGGAGAGAUUCGUCGGCAAGUCGGAAAGAUACUUGGCCGAGUCGCCCGUUCACGAUAGGUAUCCUCGACAGGAUCCGUCAGCGACAGCACAUCAUGAGCGAUAUUCGGCGAUUGCGGCGGCCACCGAGAGGUUCCUCUCGAAUUCGCCUAAUCCUGAGAGCGCGCAUCAGCGCUAUUCAUCGUCAGACCGCACGUCUCUUCAAGCCUCUUCCAGCAGUUCUGAGCAAAAUCGACGUCUCUACACCGAUAGAGGCGUCGAGACAGUUUGUCAAAAGUAUACAGAUCGCUCCAUCGGCUCGCCGGCAUCCGCCGACUUCGGUCGAUAUUCCGGCUUCCCGGAAGUCGGUAAUCAGACGCGAUAUGUGUCCAGCAACGAUCGCUUUAAUGAUCUCGCUCUACAGCGCUGCAACCAAUCGCGGUCGAUCGACAGAUUCUCCAGCGAUCGAUACCUGGCUGGAUCGUCACCCGCGCACGACGGUAGGCUGUCCGGUUCCGAGACGUCGCGUUAUAUCGUCUCCUCCACCGAACGUCUGCUGGCGCCGACGUCUUCCUCGCCGUCCUCCUCUUCAGAGACCGGCACCAGGUAUCACUCGCCCUAUACAACGUCCACCGGCACUCAAUCUUCGGCUUCCAACGAGCGUUUUGCGUCAAUUUCGCCGACACCCGAAGCGUCGUCGAACGUUCAUCGCGGCGGUAACGGCAGUUAUCAGAACACAAAGAGCACCGUCGACAAGUAUCUGGUUUCGAAAUCGGUUCAAAGCGGCUACGAUCGUUACUCGGUCGGCCAGAACGAUCAUCAGUUCGGUCAAGACCGAUACUUCGCCUCCAGCAGCAGUAGCGAUCGUUUUCAAGCUACUUCCGGAGCUGAGCGCUUUCACGCUCCUGCUGAUCGCUAUUCGCCGGCACGCAGCGUCACCGAGAAAUAUCUGUCCUUGCCGAAGCCCAAGGACAGGUUCACCGGUCGCAUAACGCCCAUCUCCUGUGCCACAUCCGUCGUCGCGACGUCCUCUACUGACCGCACUUAUGGUUCGUCGAGUACCAGCUACGUGCCCCCGACUGCGCAUACCCCCGUUGAACGAUAUGUACCACAACCACCUCCUGAAGUGCUCUACCCGGACAGGUACGUGGACAGGUAUAUGCCGCCCGCAGCGCACACGCCGACCGAUCGAUACGUGCCUGCGAGCGAUCCAGGCGAUCCAUACAUGCGUCGCGACCUUGGCUUUCAUCACCACUAUCGGCUACCACCGCCCGCCGGUUAUCCGUACCAGACACAUUUCCGGUUCCGCGGAUUCGCAUACGCGACGUCCAGCCGGUUAGGCGGCAGCCCAGGGUCCAGCAGCUCCAGCAGCACGGCGUCUAAUCAGCGUGAGACGUUCGCCACGUCGCCAUUGCUCAGGCCCAAAGUGCGCGGAUCCGCGGUCGAGUUUGGCACUGCCGCCGCCGCGACGCCCACGACGACGACCGGCGUCGGUCGUCACGUGUGCACGAAUCCAGCCGCCUGUUGCGGAGACACGUCCGCCAACGGUAGAGCCUGCUGCCAGAUGAGGAGAUCUCUGCCGCCUGGGACACUUCCAGCAAUACCCACGCAGACUUCUUCAUGGCAACCAUCGCCGAGUUCCGGGACAACCGGCACCUCGACGGUAUCAUCGACGACCGGCGAGGGCGACGCGACGCAGAGUAUCGGGAUGUACCCGGUGGGCGUCGCGGCCUCCUCUACCGCAACGACGGUGACGUCGGUGACGACGGCGUCGGCGACCGUGCCGUCGUCGGCCACUUCCGGCGUCUCUGUCGCAACCGGAAACGUCAGUGGCAUCGCCAGGAGCGUCUCCGCGCCGAGCGCACCACCUCGGCCGGUGGUUCAGGUCAGCAGCUCCUCGGUGAGCGCCUCGGCGGCCCAACGGCCGAGACUUAGGAGGAACCAAAGUCGUACCGAGGCUAUACGAAAUUAUAUUAAACGCGAGACAGCGCAGUUCUUCGGAGUCGACGAGGAAUCGGAGACUCUGGAGAAGCAGAGAUGGCUGGACCGACGGCGACGCAUGGCGUCGAGGAAGUACGGCGCUCUGCUACCGGAACACAAGCCCCCGGAUCCGGACAUCACCAGGGACGUACCGGACACGACCGAGACACCGGAGAGUGUCACUCUCAGACGAUGGCAGCAACCGGUACGGAGGAAAGAUUCUGUAGCAAGGAUGACGCUGUCGGGUCUUCAUUACAUCGUCGAGUCGUUGACGAGGCAGCGUCCCCGCGAGCGCUCGCAAUCGCGUCUGGAAUCGCGCAGCUUCCCGCCGAGCACGAUCGCGUAUCUAUCGAGGACGGAGGGGGUGUCGUAUCCUGACAGCGGCCUGGACGAGGAGCAGUCCUUCUUCGAGAGGCCCCCGCCGCCUCCACCGCCCCUUCCGCCUCCUCCAGCGUCUCAACAAUCGCAGCAAACAUCGCAGAUCGAUCAGGCCCCCGGUGGAUUGGUCAAGGACGAGGAGGUCGGCGCCAAGAUCGCGGAUAUCCUCGACGGUGCGCAGGAUCGCGAGGGAAUUACUUCCGAAAAUUUGGUCGGGUUCGUACAGCAAAAGGAUGACAGGACAACGAUCGACGGACAAGUUAGACGACCCCGUUCGAUCACGAGGGACCACUAUAUUUCCAGAAAGACAAGUUGGAGCAGGUCGAAGUACGACGCGCCUCCGACGGAGGGUACGAGGUUGCCGCAGGAGGAGGGGGUGACUCUCCGCAGGGAGAUAGCCGGGGCCACGAGGAUCUCCCGCAGCACAAUCGAUCGUGUCUUCGACAACAGCAAUCGGCGGAGAUACGGAAUGGGCAUUGUCGGUCGUUUCUUCGGACGAUCUUUUCGGAAAAGCGUCGCGCACAAACCGGACGUAAAGAAACAGUUGGACGACUUCGAGGAUCACCGACCAUAUUUCACGUACUGGAUCACCACUGUGCAAGUAUUGAUUCUGAUAAUAUCGCUGGCAUGUUACGGAUUUGGUCCUGUUGGAAUGGAUCUCAAUCAUCGGUCAGGAAUGGUUCUCGUGACGAGUUUGUCGUUGCAACAAGUCGACUAUAAAGAACCCGCGAACUUUUGGCUUGGCCCUAGAGCCGCGGAUCUGAUUCACCUUGGUGCCAAGUUCGCACCGUGUAUGCGUCGGGACAUCAAGAUUUUGAAGGAGAUUGACGUUGGGCGGGAAAGAGAACGGGAUACCGCUUGCUGCAUCAGGAACGACGAUUCCGGCUGCGUUCAAUCCAGCAAAGCGGAUUGCUCUAUUCGGGGAUUGAGAUCCACUGUUACGAACACAAUCUCGACCUGGAAGAAGUGGGGACCCGGGGAGAGUGGACCCGGCGGCCGUAUCAGUGGAUCCGUUUGCGGACUAGAUCCAAAAUUUUGCGAUGCCCCUGCAAGCAUCGCCCCUUACGAGUGGCCGGAUGACAUUACCAAAUGGCCGAUUUGCCGGAAAACCAAUUCCUUUAAUCAUCGUUUCAGUAAAAACGGGAGUCAGCGGAGCAACGGCAACUUUCCCAUCGGCCGUUACAAGGAUAAAAUGGCGGAACACAUGGUUUGCGAGAUAAUCGGUCACCCUUGUUGCAUCGGGAUUCACGGGAGUUGUCGGAUCACCACGAAGGAGUACUGCGAUUUUGUGCACGGUUACUUUCACGAGGAGGCGUCGCUUUGCUCGCAGGUGGAGUGUUUGCACGACGUCUGCGGAAUGAUACCGUUCCUGCAUCCAGAAUGGCCGGACCAGUUCUACAGACUCUUCACCACUAUGUUCCUUCAUGCCGGAAUCGUCCAUUUGGUAAUUACGUUACUGAUCCAGUAUUUUCUGAUGAGAGAUUUGGAAAAACUGACAGGAUCUUUGCGCAUUGCUUUAAUCUACUUUAUUGGUGCUCUUGCUGGAAAUUUGGCCAGCGCAAUCUUUGUCCCUUACAGAGCAGAAGUCGGUCCAGCUGGCGCGCAUUUCGCACUGCUGGCCACUCUGGUGGUCGAAGUAUUGCAUUGCUGGCCAAUGCUGAAGCACCCACGUCGUGCACUGUCUAAGCUGAUUCUGAUCCUAGUGGGAUUGUUGGCGCUGGGUAUACUACCGUGGGUGGACAACUAUGCGCAUCUGUUCGGCUUUAUCUUCGGCUUCUUGGCGGCCUACGCGCUGAUGCCGUUUAUUUCGUUUGGCCAUUACGAUCGUAAACGGAAGAUACUGCUUAUCUGGGUAUGCCUGAUCCUGAUCGUGGGCUUGUUCGCCCUGUUGCUCGCCCUCUUCUACAACGUGCCAGUGUAUGAGUGCGAAGUGUGUAAACUGUUCAAUUGCGUGCCAUUUACCCGCGACUUUUGCGCGUCUCAGAACAUCAAUUUCAAACGGGAGGAGCAAGUAUGACACACGGGGCCGCGGUUCAUAGUCGAGCGCGAAAUUGUUCCGUUCGGCCCCCGUCUUUACGCUUCUCAUCAUCGCGCACAUCAUUAUAAUGCACCGUCAUUCACCGCGCUGAUUUUGGCGAUUCUCCUCCUCGAAUCCCGAAGCCAUAAAAUCAGUUGAAGCUGAUCCAAGGACUUUUUCGUUUUAUGUAUAAUCAAAGUUCGAAAUCUUUGAAAUCAUCAAAAGCCCGUAAUUAUACAAACAGAAGAAAGUUCUCAGAAAAAAAUUAGAAAAUUUUUAUCUUUGGGAAAACUGAAAAGAAGAUAGAAGAGCAAAUUCUGCAAUCUUUGCGAAAGCUAAAUGUAAAAUCGACGAAUAUCUUGAGAUUCUGAAGAAACUGGAAGAGGAUCAAUAAAUUCUCCUUUGUUAACUGGAGGAAAGAUCAAAAGAAGAAAAUCUUUCAAAAAUCUUGUAUCUUUAAAAAAUAUUGAAACAAAAAUGAAUCUUAAAUUUUUAAAAAAGUUGGAGGAAAUCUUCGAAGGAGACCGAAAAAAGUCUUUUAGAUUUUGGAUAAAAUUUGGAAGAAGAUCGAUAGAUAUUUUUUUAAUUUUUAACCAGAGAAAAAUUUACAAGUAGAAGACUUCGGCUUUCUAAAAAGCUAAAGAAAGUAUCGGAAGAAUAAUUUCUUACCUUUUCUCGAUAAAACUGAAAGAGAAAUCCAAAAGAAGCAUCUCUUUGGCCUCCAGUCAAUAUUUAACGAUCCGGAUUGUCAAGCUUUGAAGAUUGUGAAAGGUUAGUGUUGCAAUGUUGCUAAAUGCGAACUUUGGAAAUAAUCUGGUUAUUUAACAAUUGCGCUUCCACGAUGAAACAAAUCGGAUCACCGAGCUUUUGAAAUUUCACAAAUAAAAUCUUUUAUCAUCAAAGUUUCGGUGUUUCCCGAACUUUGAAGAUCAACGAUCAUUUUUGGAUCGUCUGUGAGAGUGAUAUGGUGCAUUCGGGGGACAUGGGGGGUUUGAUAGUGCCUGGAUCGAGCGGGUGAAGGUGAUGGAACCCGACCGACAUUUUCGCUACUGCCAACGAACGUCAGAGAGGAACUCGUGUUCGUCGACACACGACGAUGCCUUAACAUUAUUAAGUCCCAGCGUAGUGAUUGGCUCCCAACGUGAGCUGGCCGAGGCCCAGCUGGCCUUGAGGGAGCCCAGGACUCUGAAUCGCCGACGGAGUGUGUGUGUGUGUAUAUAUACAUGGAUCUCUUGGAUGACCCGCUGAUGAUGACAGAUGGGAUGUUCCGUGGAUCAUUUGGGAUUCCGCGAAGUUUGACAUGGUAUCCAUCUCCUCAAGGUUUGUGUUAAUAAGAGAAAAGAGGAGAAGAAAGCUGCAAAUGUAAAUAGGAUCGAGUCUUGUUACCGUUAUAAGAACGACCUUAGUAAGUUAAUUUUAGGGAGAACUUUGAAAGUGCACACGUCUUUCGUCUCUGCACAAUAUAGUCCCCCGCACCUCCGACAUCCGGAACUAUUGUCUGUGAUGGCUUGACCUUGGAGAUAUUUUUCGUAGCACCGCGACGGCCGCGAGCCUUCCUGCAGGGACGAUCGAUCGAUGUUCACCAACUGGAUACCAAUCAAUAGCUCGCUGUAAGCAAGAUUUGUCUCUUUCGAUUUUAUGAUCAAACUUGAUAUAUUUAUAGAAACAGGCAAAAACUUAUGGGAUACAUACUUUUCUUCUCUAAUCGAGAAAAAGUACGUAUUUCUUAAUUUUGCUUUUUCCAUUAUAUUGUGUAAUAAUAUUAGUUGCAGCAACACAUUACAAACUACAAUAUUAAUAAUUUUAUACGCAAUUGAUGACAAUUUUACGUGACAUUUUAAUAAUGUCGUUUUAAACAAAACUGGAGUUUACAUUACAUUUUGAUAAUGCCAAAUUUCUCUUUCUCAUGAAAUUGUAAUAUAAAAUGUAGUACAAAAUAUGGAAUGUCUGCAAUGUCGUGGAAAAUAACAGUGAGAUGUCUGAUUGGUAUCCAGAGGAUACGCUCCUUAUCGAGAAUAGAAGAGAAGGGAUAGUCCGAGGCAGAGGAGGCGGAAGGAAAGUGUUAACGAUUUAAGGAAUCGCCUACUGUCACUGAGCCAUACUCUAAGAAGCCAAAUUAAAAAAAAUAGCAGUUCGUUAAUGUUUUUAGACAAUAUAUAUUGUCUAUAUUUUAUAAUAAUUUUUUUAAAUAGUUUUAAUAGAUUUUUUGAAUUACAGGCGAGUAUAAGAAGUUUUUUUGUAAGAAGACGAAGGAAUUUUUUUUCUUUAACCAAACUUUGAUUUGACUUGUGCUGUUUCUUAUUCACUGAUAAAAAUGGCAAUCAUUAACAUAGAGAUUGGCCUCUAUAAAUAUAUAUAUAUGUAUAUAAGUUUUUAAUUCUUCUUCUUUAAUUUUUUGAUAUCAAAUAUUUAUAACAUUGAAAAAUAGCGGAGCUAAAAAAUUUGUUAAAACAAAUCUUUGUGUAUUUUUUAUUGCAAAUUUUAAUUUACAGGUGAAGAAUCUCAUGCUUGUCACUAAAAUUUACGUAUUGCGCUAUACUAAAAACAUAUAUAACAUUGUUUUAUUAUAUGUAUAUAAACUUAUAUCGUAAUAUUUUUUUUACAUAUAGGUGUCAGAAGGAAAUAGAAUAUUUAUCUUCGUAAUGCUCUUGAUAAAAUCUCCGAUCGCGCGGUUGACUUGCCAUUUUUUGCGAUGCGGCGAACCACCGCCGCCGCGUGCGCGCGCGCGCGCGCGUUUCACCCUGUAAAUAAACGUAUGCGUCAAAAAUGGACCAAGGAUCUACAUAGUGCAGCUCGUGCGUGUAAAAUUGAUCGGCAGAUAGGAUUGUAAGUAAAACUCUACGAUGAAUCUCGAUUAUUAUAAAGAAAACCCCGUGAAACGUGGGCGAAUUCAGGGGAAAUUUCACGGAGAUUCUCUUCUGCGAAAUAAUCCCCAAUCUUCGAAAUCAAGAAUUGAAUUAAAUGGCCAAACUGACUUUACGCACGUGACAUUAAAAGUUGAGAUUUUUCAUUAAUUUUUAAAAUCAUUUAACUUUUCUGUUUCGGUCUACGGGACAACGGCUGAACUACUGUCUGUUUAAGACAGAUAUUUUUGUAUGAUCUCUAGUGUUCUAUAUAGGUACACGUAGUGGUUGUUCUGUCAUCACUCUGUUAACGGACAGUGUGUUUCUGAAUUUUUUUUUUCCGUUUCUGUCUGUAGAUGUAUAUACGUGACUAGUAGUAACGUAAGCUACGUAAAUUGUGAAAUGUGAAAUGAGAGUUUUCGCAAUUUUAAAAUAUUUACAAAAUUUUAACAAGUUUCCAGAAGUUGCAUCUUAAAAAGCAGUGACGAGUAUAAAUAUUUCAUAUUGCUUUCGCUUGUCUGUGAUUUCGAAGAUUAGCGAUUCGAUUUCGCGUAUGAUGAAUUUUUUAGUCGGUCUCUCGUCGUUUUUCUUAAUUUACUUAAUUUUUGCGGUGUAAAUAAAACGAGCGCCGGCGCGGCGGCGCUGGCUUGUAAUUAAUUAAUUAGGCGCUCUCGCGCCUGUUUUAUAUAAAUAUUAUACAUAUAUGCAUAUAUAUAUAUAUGUAUAUUAUAUACGACUUAAGAACAUUCCACCACGGCCGCGCGGUAUUAUUUUUCUGUAUCCCUGUAUCAAUAAAAGCGCGAUAUAAGUAUUAAG